rnacentral:lncRNA from 1 species
CCCUGCCUUUUAACUGAUUCCUUCUGCACCUUCUGGAUGGAGAAGGCUUGAAACCUUGAACUUACAUAAAGAUUUGUAAAUAUGGAGGAUGCUUGGCAAGUCAUGCUUCUAAGUUCUUUCCAUCUUAUUUUUAUGAUUAUUAUUGUUUUAUAAUUCUGCCUUCCUUUGAAUUUCACAAAAUUUAAAGAUUAAUUUGAUUCCAUGUGCAGAAGUUAUUAGAACACACAUUAAGAAACCACAACUACAUGCCAUGGCAGCAAUUACUUGACUGGCUUUCCACAGAAGAAUUUCCUCACAUUGCAUGAUUACUUUGAGACUGUCGCCAGAAGAUUCAUACAAAGGUACUUCUGCCAUCCUUAGGACAAGCUAAAAUAACCAACUGGAAAUUGAGUUCACGGCUGAUGUUGGUUCGAUUUGCGGACAGCAGCCAGGUCUCUUACUGUAUGUUCUCUUUUAGAUGAGAUAGUUGCACCCAUUUUCAUAGAUCUUCCAUGUAAGUAAGGCCCAAUUGGAAAGAGUUGAUUAGUGAAUAAUUAGGUAAUAAAUUAAACUAAACAGCCGACCAAAGCAUGAGGUUUCCAUGUGAUUGAUGAUAGAGAUGGGUUUAGAAUCAAUUUUUGUCAUCCCUUUAAUUUUAUGGAACAAAACCCUAAUUAAUAACACUAAUGCAAUUGCUAAUUAGUGGCUUAAUGUCAACGCCUUCUUUCUCACUUUGUUAAUUUUUAAUACUGUAAAAUGCAUAUGGCCUAAUAUUUUUCCUAUAACGAAAGGAAGUGAAAUCUGAACUUAGAUGAUUGCAAAAUGGAACUCGAUAAUCAGGUUAAAGCUACUAUAUAUAUAUAUAUAUAAUUUUUUGGUUUUCCUUUUCUUUUCUUCCAAAGUUAUUAUCUCUGAUUUAUAGUCUUGCUUUUGUCUUUUGAAAUUCUAAAAUGGAGUUUGCAAAACUUCUGCAGGUAAACUUGGAGAAUAUGAAUAAAACCAGGCAUUGGAAAAUCGUGGGCUGUAGCGCAUACACAGGGGAGGGGCUGCUUGAGGGUUUUGAUUGGUUGGUUCAGGACAUGAUGAUACCUUAGGAUCUAGUCAACAUUAAGCAAUAGAGUUAGGUUUUUUUUUAUUGGCCCUCUCAGAGAACUGAUUAAGGUCCAUUUGUACUGUUUUAUUAACUAUCUUAUUGUUGUGAAAUUUAGUCAAGCUGUAAAACUUUUUGGGUCAAUAGUAUUAUUGAAACUUUCAAUGGGAAGUUUGGGUCAAUAUUAGUGACUAAUCAG